UACGAAGGGGGCUAGCGUUGCUCGGAAUCACUGGGCGUAAAGGGCGCGUAGGCGGCGUUUUUAAGUCGGGGGUGAAAGCCUGUGGCUCAACCACAGAAUGGCCUCGAUACUGGGACGCUUGAGUAUGGUAGAGGUUGGUGGAACUGCGAGUGUAGAGGUGAAAUUCGUAGAUAUUCGCAAGAACACCAGUGGCGAAGGCGGCGACCUGGACGGACAUUGACGCUGAGACGCGAAAGCGUGGGGAGCAAACAGG
rnacentral:rRNA from 1 species